rnacentral:rRNA from 1 species
AGUCGAGCGGAUGAAGGAGCUUGCUCCUGGAUUCAGCGGCGGACGGGUGAGUAAUGCCUAGGAAUCUGCCUGGUAGUGGGGGACAACGUUUCGAAAGGAACGCUAAUACCGCAUACGUCCUACGGGAGAAAGCAGGGGACCUUCGGGCCUUGCGCUAUCAGAUGAGCCUAGGUCGGAUUAGCUAGUUGGUGAGGUAAUGGCUCACCAAGGCGACGAUCCGUAACUGGUCUGAGAGGAUGAUCAGUCACACUGGAACUGAGACACGGUCCAGACUCCUACGGGAGGCAGCAGUGGGGAAUAUUGGACAAUGGGCGAAAGCCUGAUCCAGCCAUGCCGCGUGUGUGAAGAAGGUCUUCGGAUUGUAAAGCACUUUAAGUUGGGAGGAAGGGUUGUAGAUUAAUACUCUGCAAUUUUGACGUUACCGACAGAAUAAGCACCGGCUAACUCUGUGCCAGCAGCCGCGGUAAUACAGAGGGUGCAAGCGUUAAUCGGAAUUACUGGGCGUAAAGCGCGCGUAGGUGGUUUGUUAAGUUGGAUGUGAAAUCCCCGGGCUCAACCUGGGAACUGCAUCCAAAACUGGCAAGCUAGAGUAUGGUAGAGGGUGGUGGAAUUUCCUGUGUAGCGGUGAAAUGCGUAGAUAUAGGAAGGAACACCAGUGGCGAAAGCGACCACCUGGACUGAUACUGACACUGAGG